GCAUCACCUUGCAGUUCAGACACUGCUGCCUUUCUGCAGUCCUCUCUCACUCUCUCCUAAUUUCCUCCUCUCUUUGGUCCUUCACAACCCCCUCCCUCCUUUUCUGAUCACUUUCUUUUCUUAUCUGUCAUCCACUCCUUAUUUUAUUUUAUCAAUAUGUAUCGGAACCCUUGGAUCUCUAACUACAUCAACCAUGUCAAGUUGUGCCAAGGCUUCACAGGAGAAACAGCUCCUAAAGUUGGCAAUACCAAACUACAACGGAGAGCUCUUAGCUUCCAGAAAGAGUUCUUGUUUGAAGAGAAAGACGAGGGAACUAACAAAGAAUUACAUGUCAGUCUGCUGGGAAAUACACCCAAGGUCUCUGAAUUAAGGAAACGUUUUGAGAGUGUAAGCUCGAGUCAGAGUUGGGACAUGAACAGGAAAGAGCGAAUUGCAAGACGUCUGGAGGGAAUCGAUAGUGACGCUCUCCAAAAUCUCCCAGGCUGUGAUGGUCUAGUUACCAAUCGACUGCUAGAGGAGGACACUCCGAGAUAUACCCGUGCAGCAGACACCUGUGACCCCUGUACAGUUUCUCUUCAGCACUAUGGCAAAAAUGACCCAAACUUCCCAAAUCCGCACAGUGCAGAGGUUCAGUCCAGAACCCACACAGUCCAACCGGAGACUGUCUACAGCACUGGCUCCACUCAUGUGGCAGAGCUGGACUCUAAAGCCGAAAGGAUCGCACGCUACAAGGCAGAACGGCGCCGUCAGCUAGCAGAGCGCUACGGCAUCUCUCUGGACCAGGAGUUGGAGACCGACUAUACGGCUCGUUACUCCAAAACCUCCAGAGAGCCCGAUGGCUCAGACCGACAACAUAGGUCAAAGGUAGAAGGAGGAGAUGGAGUGGAGCAUAAUGCUUACACCCCUAGCCAUCAUGUAGACAGGGCCAGCUCACACAUUCACAACGAUCCAGAGUCCAUCUCCGAGCGCGAGAGGAUGAUGAAUCUGGAGAACCAGAGGAGGGCACAGGAGCGGGAUAGAUUGCAUGGAGGUGGAGGGGCACCUGACCCAUCUGCAUAUAUGGAUGUAUCAGGAUCUGUCAGGGUCCCAGGGAAGGAGCCAGGGGCAAUGGGGGUUCCCAGCUCGCCUAAUGCAGGUCGAAGGACCAUGAUGCCAUCUUCAAAACAGGGAGCAUCUCCUGGUGAUCUGUUUAUUGAGCAGCAGGCUCACAACAUCCUCCAAAGACACGGCUCCUGUAGCCAGUCAACAAACCAGUGGUCACUUCAGACUGAUUCAGAAGGAGACACCUUCUCUCCGAUCAACUGGCCUUCCAGGGCAGAAGAGGUGCCUCCAGAUACACAUGCACCCUGGAGAAGUGAGAGAGUCAAAGAUCGCUCAUCUCGUCGCCCUUUGCGGUAUAUAUGUCCCACUGAGAAUAGAAAGACAUCUGAGAGGUUUAGAACGCAGCCUGUCACAUCAACUGAGCGUGAACAGUCGGACCGGUCUCAUCUAAGCCCUGAACCACUGAGCCCUGAAGUGGAUGAAGAGAAGUUGGAUGAGAGGGCAAAGCUGAGUGUAGCCGCCAAGCGCUCUCUUUUCAGGGAGCUUGAAAAGACUUCAGAUGGUUCAGUUUUGAAGGCAUGGAGCCAUAACCCUGCUGUUGAACGGAGGCUGAGGAGAGGUCAGGAUCGCUCCCGCACUCAGCCCGUCACCUCGGAGGAAGUAGUCAUCGCUGCUACUGUCCCUGGCCAUCUGUCACAGUCCGUGACUGUACAAACCUCUGUAACGCGUGUUCCUAGUCCCACUCUAGUCAGCAGCUCUGUGACCAAAUACAGCUUGCAGGCAUCAUCUCAGCAGAGCUCCAUGGUGAGGGAACAGGCCAGAGAGGUUCGACUGGCUCAAGAGGCAGUGGAGACGGAUCGAGCUCACCACGCAUCUCCAGGGGAGGAUGGCCAAGAGGAGCCAGACCUUUCCACACUGAGUCUGGCAGAGAAGAUGGCACUCUUCAACCGCCUGGCACAGCCGUUCAGCCACGGCCCUCGGGCCAGGGGAGACACUCGGUCACGUAGGAGUAAUGCCCGCUACCAGACUCAGCCAAUCACACUAGGAGAGGUUGAACAGCUGCAGCCUGCAGGUGGAGCUCGUUUUGCAUCCACCUCUAACUCGGCCCUGAGAUCUUCGACCGUUUCCACUGAACAUGCUGGUGACAUCCACCUGACCAUGCCCAAUGUAUCUGGCCCUGCCUACUAUGAGCAGACCCUCUCCCCACCUUGCCAACCUCAAACUGCUCAUCAGAAUCCAGAUGUGUUCCCGGUGGCCCAAGGAGAAAAGCAGUUAUUGAGCAUGGGGAAGAGGAAGCUCCCCUCUCCAGAGAGCAUGAAACAGACACCACACUCUCAACCGGAGUAUAAAGGGCACAAUGAGGCUCUGGUGACCCCUCAAGACCCUUCAGAAACAGAUGGAGAGCACAAGUCAAAGGCAGCCAUAUCAGAUCUUCCUGUGCACACAGCCGCAGUAUGUGCAGCGGCAACUGUAUCGCAGGGCUCAUCCUCUUUAUGGAGCGGUUCUCUUGCGCCACACACGCACACAGAGUCUGCCGGACACCCCUCGGAGGACAACAGGAGAGAAGACGAGCAGGAGACUGACUUUAAAACAGAGGAGGGAGACAAGCUCUCAGACAUCAUGUCUACCAGACAGAUGUCCAUCAAAGAGAGGCUGGUACUGUUGAAGAAGAGUGGAGAGGAAGACUGGAGGAACAGGAUAAAUAAAAAACAGGAUGUGGUGAAGGUUGCUGUGUCUGAAAGACACGCCCAGCUAUGGGAAGUGGAGCAGAGCUUCAAGAAGGAUGAUGGGAUGAUAAUUGAUGACUUUGCCGUGUCUGAUCAACUUUGGGAUCCUGUCUUUUCCUCCUCCUUUUCGUGUGCCUCUGAACCACUGGAUCAAAUAGCAAUCCUCCCCAAGGCUACCCCCCUGCCCGUGCAGGUGGAUGAGCGUCACCCCUGGAGACGGAAGAGGAUGGGAAAUGAGGUGGGGGAGAGUCAGCAGACUGAGCGAAUUGAGAUGUCGAUUCAGGAACGCAAGCAGCUCAUCACCGCACAAGAGGAUGCCUGGAAGGUCAAAGGUUACAGAGCAUCUAAUGACUCCACUCAGUUUACAGUGGCUGGACGUAUGGUUAAAAAAGGUCUGGCAGCCCCCUCUGUGCUCACAAAUCCAGUGCUGUCCCCUCUGUCCUCUAAAAGCAAGAAUGCCUCCCAUACCAUCUCAAAGCCACAUGAAGAGAUAGAAGUCAGAGAGGACAUGAAGGUGGAGUCAGACAAGAAGCUGGAAAAGUUGGAGUCAUUCCUUGGUCGGCUCAAUAGUAAAGUUUCAGGACUUCAAGAGGCCACGAUUGCAGUCACAGAGAAGUCUGUUAAAGAGGUCAUGACUGUAGAUGAUGAGAUCUUCAAUAAGUUUUAUCGACACACAGAGGAUAUGGCCAAGAUCACUAGCAGGGUGGAAAUCAAUGACGAUUUUGAUGACAUUUUUGGAGUGCAGUCGCCCAGGUUGACUUCAGACAUGGUGCAGCACAAGCGUGCAGUACGGCCAACCAGAAACGUUCAGCCAUCCAAAAACCCCCUGAAAAUGCUGGCCGUUCGGGAGGACAUCAGACAUGAGUACACAGAACAGAGACUGAAUAUCGGCCUUCUGGAGAGCAAGAGGAUGAAACAGGAAAAGAUGAAUAAGAACAGUGGUUUCUCUGAGGUUGCUCUUGCUGGAUUGGCCAGUAAGGAAAACUUCAACAGUGUGAGUCUGCGAAGUGUGAAUGCAUCUGAGCAGAGUUCCAACAACAGUGCCAUGCCCUAUAAGAAAAUCAUGCUCAUUCAGGUCAAAGGUCGACGGCAUGUCCAGACCAGACUGGUUGAGCCCAGAGCUUCCUCCCUGAACAGUGGUGACUGCUUCCUUUUGAUCACACAUCAUUAUUGCUUCAUCUGGAUUGGAGAAUUUGCAAAUGUUAUUGAGAAGGCCAAAGCCGCAGAGUUGGCUAUGUUCAUUCAGACCAAGCAUGACCUGGGAUGCAGAGCCUCGUAUGUGCAGACCAUUGAGGAAGGUGCCAACACUCACACUCCUGCUGCCAAAGAGUUUUGGAAGAUUCUUGGUGGCCAAGCCGGUUAUCAAGCCGCUGGCACUCCAGAAGAAGAUGAGUUCUAUGAGAAUGCCGUCGUAGAAACCAACUGUAUCUACAGGCUCAUGGACGAUAAACUUGUUCCUGAAGAUGACUACUGGGGUCGAGUUCCUCGCUGCUCCAUGCUUAACCCUAAAGAAGUGCUGGUGUUUGAUUUUGGUAGUGAGGUCUACGUAUGGCAUGGUAAGGCGGUGACGCUGGCACAGAGAAAAGUGGCUUUUCAGCUGGCAAAGCACUUGUGGAAUGGCACCUUUGACUACACCAACUGUGAUAUUAAUCCUCUGGACCCUGGAGAGUGCAAUGCACUUAUACCCAGGAAAGGCCAGGGACGACCAGACUGGGCUGUGUUUGGCAGGUUAACUCAGCACAAUGAGACUAUUCUUUUUAAAGAGAAGUUUUUGGACUGGACUGACUCCAAGAAAUCCACUAAGAAGAAUGGCGACUCGCAUGUUGUUGAAAACAAGGAGCAUCGGGGUGGGGAAUGUCGGCCAUACGAUGCGUCACUGAUGUUGACAACAGUAUGGAUGCCAGUCAAGACUGUUCUGGAUGGGGUCGAUGUUGGACGAGGUUAUGGAUUGGUGGAAGGUGACGAGGGGCGUAAUUUUGAGAUCAGCACGUUAUCUGUUGAUGUCUGGCACAUUCUAGAGUUUGACUACAGUCGUCUACCCAAACAGAGCAUUGGUCAGUUCCAUGAAGGAGACACAUAUGUGGUCAAAUGGAAGUACAUGAUCAGUACAGCAGUUGGCAAGAGACUGCAUUCAGAACGGAUCAUCGGUCCAGGGAAGGAGAAAUGUUGUUAUUUCUUCUGGCAGGGUCGCAACUCCACUGUGAAUGAAAAGGGAACCUCAGCACUAAUGACUGUAGAGCUGGAUGAGGAGAGGGGUUCUCAGGUCCAGGUACAGCAGGGAAAGGAGCCUCCUUGUUUCUUACAGUGCUUCAAUGGAGGAAUGAUUGUUCACGCUGGAAAGAGAGAAGAGGAGGAAGAAAAUGCACAAAAUGACUGGCGCUUAUACUGUGUGAGAGGAGAGAAACCCAUAGAGGGUCAUCUGCUAGAGGUCGUGUGCCAUUGCAGCAGUUUACGGUCUCGCAUCUCUAUGAUCCUCCUGAACAUCCCAAAAGCCAGCAUGUACCUGUGGCAUGGCUGCAAAGCACAGACGCACACACGUGAUGUGGGUCGUACCGCUGCCAACAAAAUCAAAGAGCAGUGUCCUCUGGAGGCGGGGCUUCACAGCAGCAGUAAGGUGUCCAUCGAGGAGUGUGAUGAGGGAGCUGAACCACAGGGCUUCUGGGAGGCCUUGGGAAGAAGAGAUCGAAAGGCGUAUGACUGCAUGCUGCAGGAUCCGGGAAAGUUCAACUUCACUCCCCGGCUGUUCCAGUUAAGCAGCACUUCAGGAGAGUUUGUGGCAGUAGAGUUUGUGUAUCCAUCUAGGGAACCAAAUUUGGUCAACUCGAUGCCUUUCCUACAGGAGGAUUUGUAUACAGCUACUCAGCCAGCCCUGUUUUUGGUGGAUAAUCACCAUGAAGUGUACCUAUGGCAGGGCUGGUGGCCUCAGGACAGUGAGAGCACGGGAUCAGCUCGCAUACGAUGGGACUCUGACAGGAAGUGUGCCAUGGAAACAGUACUCCAAUAUAGCAAAGAAAAAAAUGAGAAAAAAACUCCCAAAUCAUACCUGAUCCACGCAGGACUUGAGCCUCUUACUUUCACUAAUAUGUUUCCCAGCUGGGAACACAGAGAGGACAUCGCUGACAUCACAGAGAAGGAGGCUGAAGUAUGUCAUCAGAUCAUUCUGGUUGAAGACGUCUUGACUAGACUCUGCAAGACCACUUACCCACUUGCUGAUCUUCAAGCCCGUCCACUACCAGAAGGAGUUGACCCUCUAAAUCUUGAGAUCUACCUUUCAGAUGAGGACUUUGAGUCUUGCGUCUGAUGAGGUUAAUUUUUCCCUUCACAUGCCAGGGUGUAGGGGCUUCUGGGAAGAAAGCAUUGGAAAUGACAAGAAGUGAAUAUGAGGCACUGCCAGGGUGGAAGCAAGUGAAUGUGAAGAAAGCCAAAGGACUGUUUUAAAGGAACUGCUGAUUGGGAUUGAAUCUGAGGUGGAGACCUUGUCAUUCCUUUUGAUCCGGACAGAACAAACGCAAGUGAAGAUCUUCCUGUGUCAAACCACACAGGGAGGUCAAAAGGGGCUGGAUGAAGGAGAAUAGACACUGAUGGGCAGGGGUUUAGCAGCCUCUUGUAGCACAUUUCUCUCCCAUUUUCUCCUCUUUUUUUUUUUUUUUUUUUGUUUUUAUCAGUGAAUUAGCAAGAUUUGUUUUCUUGUUGAAUGUUUUGAUUGCUCCCCAGCAUCUUUUCUUCCCAUUGUUCUGCAUUGUUGUCCACAUAAAGCCAGUCACCGUUCAACAUGCACAAGGCAGCCCUCAUGCACUGCUCAGCUUUAUAUAGAGACCUAAUAAAUGAAAAAAUGCCUUUUAGUUAUGAUCUAAUUGUAAGAAAGCUCAAAAGAGCACUUUAUGUAAGUACGUUCAUACCUGCUCUCAUAAAUGGCCUCAAGAUGUGUUUAAACCUUCCAGAUAGAUGCUUGAACUUGAGAACCCUAUAUAUAUAUAUAUAUAUAUAUAUAUGUGUGUGUGUGUGUGUGCGUGUGUGCGUGCACAUGGGAGAGUGUGUCUCUCUUCAAACAGGAUUGAAUGAAACUGUGGAAUAAGAGAAAAUCUCUUUCUAUUCUGCAUUGUAUAGUGCCUUGCCUUCAUGUACAGUUUAUAUAAAGACAGAUGCUAGUCUGCAUUUUGAAGACAUUUGUGAUAUAAAUAAAUAAAUAAUGGUGCAAAUAAACACUGAAUAAUGUAGAUAAUGAAAA